UACAGAGGGUGCGAGCGUUAAUCGGAAUUACUGGGCGUAAAGGGCGCGUAGGCGGCCCUCUAAGUCGAACGUGAAAUCCCCGGGCUCAACCCGGGAACUGCGUCCGAUACUGGAGGGCUCGAAUCCGGGAGAGGGAUGUGGAAUUCCAGGUGUAGCGGUGAAAUGCGUAGAGAUUGGGAAGAACAUCGGUGGCGAAGGCGCUCUGCUGGACCAUAACUGACACUCACAGGACGAAAGCUAGGGGAGCGAAUGGG
rnacentral:rRNA from 1 species